UAGGGAAUCUUCCGCAAUGGACGCAAGUCUGACGGAGCAACGCCGCGUGUGUGAAGAAGGAUUUCGGUUCGUAAAACUCUGUUGUUAGAGAAGAACAGCGCAUAGAGUAACUGUUAUGCGUGUGACGGUAUCUAACCAGAAAGCCACGGCUAACUACGUGCCAGCAGCCGCGGUAAUACGUAGGUGGCAAGCGUUGUCCGGAUUUAUUGGGCGUAAAGCGAGCGCAGGCGGUCAAUUAAGUCUGAUGUGAAAGCCCCCGGCUCAACCGGGGAGGGUCAGUGGAAACUGGUUGACUGGAGAGCAGAAGAGGAGAGUGGAAUUCCAUGUGUAACGGUGAAAUGCGUAGAUAUAUGGAGGAACACCGGGGGCGAAGGCGACUCUCUGGUCUGUAAGUGACGAUGAGGUUCGAAAGCGUGGGUAGCAAACAGG
rnacentral:rRNA from 1 species